GAGGCCAAGUGGGCAGGGGUCCCAGGCACACCAGGCUCCCGCGGCUCGCUAAUCCCAGCGGUUUGUGUCUCUGCUCCCAUGUGUGGACUCGUGAUCAAUGGGUGUCACUACAUGAGUGUCACAGUGUGGGGAGGGGGAAGGGGCUGGCAUGGGAGUGGGGGUAACCUGACCAUCUUGGGAAGAGAGGGCGCUGUCCGGAGUGCCGGCGUGGGCGAUGCAUGGUUACCUGUAUGUGGUGGUCACUGUAUCCCUUGAGAGGGCUGUGAUGCCCUGCCGGGUCCGCCUGGUGGGAAGGGGCAUCGGGAAAGCCCCUUCUUUAGCCCAAUGAGCUGGAGGUGACCAGCAUGGGUAAGGUUUCUUUCUUGGGGAGCCCUUCCCAGGAGGGUCUGUUUGGGGUCGCCCAAGGUGGGAAGCUGGGGAACAGGACAGUACCGCUGAGACCAGACAGGGUGGGGACCGAAGGGCUGGGGUUCCCCCUAUCUUUGGGGAGCGAGGUGGGCAGGGCUCCAUCAGGGCCAGGGUCUUACCUUGGGUCCGGGGUGGAGUGGCCCCUCGGAUGGGCAGCGGGACAGACGGGCUGAUGGAUGGACGGACGGCCGGACGGGGCGGGCAGGAAUGAGGAACCGAGCCGAGCGACGGGCAGAGCCGGGACUCUUAAACCCGGAGCUGGGAUCAGAUAAGGGCUGGUCCGGGGGCCGGGGCCGGGGUCGGGCCGGCCGGGGGCAGAGCUGGGCCGGGCCGGGCCGCCCCCUCCCUCCGCAGCGCCGGAGCCAAACUUUGUGUGAAUGGAGGGGCCCGGAGGGGGCCGGCGGGCGGGGGCGGGGGGCUGCGGGCGGGCCAAUGGGGACGUGGAGCGCCAGGCCCGCGCCGCCGGGAUUGGAGAGGCCGGGGCGGGGGGCGGGGCGCAGGGGGCAAGGAAGCGGAGACCCAGACAGAUGGAGGCGCAGGGCCGAGCGCAGCGCCCGAGGAGCGGGACCCAGACAGACUCCGGGAGGGAAAGGGACGCGAGACGAUGGGCGAAGCGAUAGGGGCUGCGCUGGCACGAUGACAGGGGAGAGGCGGCGGCGGCCGUGUCAGCGACGGGGAGCGGGCGCGGGGGGCGGGCCGGGCCGAGUUAAUGAGCUGGAAAUGAACUCGGGACGGCCCGGUGGCCCUGCGCGCAGCGCCAAGCGGCUGGCUGGGGCUGGGCUCCGGCGCGCUAUCCCCCUGCGGGUCACCGGGCCCUAAGCCCUGCGUGAGGUCCCGGGGGCCGAGUGCGCGGACCAGCCUCCCCGCCAGCAGCCCGCCGGGUCCCGGAGCCGCGACGCGGCGGGGCGCGCGGCGCAGGUGCGAGGCGCUGGAGGCCGCAGAGGGGGCCAGGUCCCUCCACUUAGGGGGUCCUGGCAGAUGUGGGGCAUCUGAUAAGCGCCCUGAAGAGCGCAGAGGAUUCAGGUCCUGGGAGAUGAUGCGCAGGGCGUCCGAGGCAGAAGGAACGCAGUCACCAAGUCCCCGGGACACAUGGAAAUACAAGUCUGCUUGGGAAACGGCGGCACACGGGCCCCCUGGACUAGACAGAGAGCAGGUGACAGUUCUUCUCAUCCCCGCCAUCACCAAGGACUGCUCUCAGUACCCGAAUCCGUGCUUCCAGGGGUUCCAAUCCACAGGCUCCCGCCCUGGGCAUUUAUUAAGGAAAGAAUCAGUUCCCCAUUUUGGUUCAUCAUAGAUAUUUAGAUAUUUAACUAUUAAUCAGUAACCGGCAUUAUCAUCUUGAGUUGAUAUACAUCUUGGAAAAAACAAAAACAAAACAAAACAAAAGCAAAGAGACCUGAAACGUUUUAGUUUAGAUCUGCCUCUAAAAGCCGUAGGCUGGGUAAAUGUACAUUUGAACUAGCCCCCCUGGGGGAGGGAGCUGGGCCGCAAGCCAGGCACCACAGGUGAGGUGUCUGUGUUGGGGCAAGAGAGGACGGUGCCAGCUGGGGGUCAGCUCUGGGUUCCUGGAGGCAAAGUCUUGAGCCGAGGACAGACGAAGCCCUGGCAGAAUUUUAGGAAGAUAAAUCUGGAGGUGAGCGAGAUGGUUUGGAGGGAGGGGCCAGCAGACCGCAAUGCCAGAGCCUUGAUUCUUUUCUCUUUCCUCAUCUGAGCUAACCAGAGCCUGCCCCCUCCUCUCUGCCGCAUCCUUCAGCUGUGCCCCAGGACACCGCCCCUCUCUGGCCAGGAUCUCUGCAGCUGCCCUCUCAUGAGCAUCCCCACCUCCAGUUUCCGUCACUCGAACAAUCCUGCGGAUCAUGAACUCCUACAUUUAAGGCUGAACACCUGUGAGGUACCAGCUCUCUGAAACACAAACCUGACUGUGUCCCUUCCCAAUGUAAAAGCCUUCAGUGGCUGCCCGUCGGCCAGAAGUAAAAUCCAGAUUCCUCGCCGUGGGACAGAAGGCCCGCUAUGACUUAGACCUGGUGUCCUUCCAGCCCCGUCCGCCUCCACUGGCCCUGUGCGCCCAAACCUACAGCCGCUCGCUCCUCCAAUGCCGAAGGAUUCAUUCCUUCCGACUUUGGCCUCGUCUCCUCUUUGACCUUGCUCUGGAAAGAGUGGAGAUGAUUGAUUGCAUUGCACACUAUGGGGCUCCGAGCAACAUUUGAGCUCAACGAAUUUCCAUCAGUAGUGGGCACCUCGUAGCUGGAUGAUCCAGACCACAGAGGACCGCGAGGCGGAGGGACGAGGCUACAUUGCCCCAGUCACUAAAGGAUUAUUGUUUAGGUAUACAUACCCCCUCCCUCCGCGAAAUGCAGUGUACAUAAACCCACAUUUAUAGGACGGAAGUUGAGGGGUGCUUGAUCACAUUGCUAACGGAGUCUUCCCAGAAUUUCUUUAACUAGGUGGCUCCUCUCGUAUCUUUCCAGUUGGGUCCCACGGAUUAAAAUCCCACUGACACCCAAUACACUGUGGUAGCAGGGAGACUACAGGGAAUAAAGAAACAACCAGGGACCAGGAGCUGGGAUGCCUGGUCUUAGUCCUGCCUAAGGACCCAUCCCAGACCUGAAAGGUGAGGACUAAUCCUGGACCACCUCUAAAUGCCAGGACUUUUGAAUCCUGAGCAAUCGGCACCAAUCCUAUCAAGCAAGAUAGACCUGUUGAUGAGAAGGCUCUGAUCCCCUAGUUGUGCUGGAAAGAGCCAGAAGGCCAGGAUGUGCCUCAGCCUGGGGUGCCCAGUGGGGUCCCCCCUGUCCUGGUGCUGUGCUCUGCUCCCCUCCCCCCAUUCGCUCUGACCUCCACCCGCAUCCACUGCUUCAAUCGUAUUCUCCCUCUGCUCUGAGUUUUCUCGGGCCCCAGCUCCCUUAAAUUUAUGACAAUUGUUAUCGUUUCUGCCAGAUUGGCCUCCCUGCUCCACUAAAUUCAUAUCCUCAACCAUCUCCUGUUUUCCCAUCAUACUUCCUCUCCCACCUCCAAGAUUUUACCCAAGAAGUCUCAUGAUCUCGUUCAAGGAAACCUUCCCAGACUGGUUGGUCCCAGGGCUCCCACAUACAGCUGUACAGGCUGUGGACUGCACAAAGGCACUCACUGAGGGGGCAAGCUGAGAACUGAACGGCAUUCGGCUUGCCAAUCCUUGCACCCUGGCUCAGAGCUGUAUCUACUAGAAGGAUUCCCCUUUUUAUUUUUGUUUUUGCCCCAAAGUACCACUUACUCUCCAAGCCACAUGCCAUAAGGAAUGCACCUGCCCAGGGCGGGCUCCUUUUUCUACCUUGUAACGAGGUUCUUUGUGGACCACCUACGUGGCCCCGGCCGUGCCCCUCCCGCCCUCAACAUUCUCAAGUUCCAAACCCAGUCUCCCACCAUCACCACUGUACUGACAUGUUUUACCAAUUCCUCGUAAAGUUGCUUUCCCUGUCGGGAUACCAGAAAGCUGGGAUCUUGCACCCUGGAACCUAAGAAAACUUGAUUCCCUCCCUCUGCUCAAGCUCAAUGAGAAACAAGGGAUUGAAGUUAGAGACCAGGUGAAGUCCAGGACCUGCACAGGGGAGACGGGGGAGGCACCUCAGGGUGGUCAGCGGGACUGAGGCAGGGGGCUGGCUGACACCCUCCGGAUGGGCCUGCCAGCCCCGUGACGCCCCCCCCCCCCACCCUCAGGAAAUGGGGCCAGUUCUAUGCAAAUGCUCUCUUGCCCAGGGGUCCGGUUUCCUCCCUCUGAGCUCCUGGCACAGCAGAGCCAACGUGAGCAGCUGCUUGGCAGGACAGAGAAGGGCAGGCUAGCAGUCCCAAGGCUCAGGUGACAGGGCCGGGCCCAGGAGACGGGGAUGUUGACUGGGGCUUUAACAGCCCUCCUGAUGCCAAUCUCGGGCUGAAAACUCGGUAUUUCCACUUGGAACAAGAAACGUGGGCAGGAGGGCUGGGGAGAGGAGGGCGGUGUACCCGCAGCGCCCCCUGCAGGCCUCACUGGGUGGCACCGAAACAGAGGAAGGAGGAGCAGGGUGGGGGUAUCAGGAGAUGCCCCGGAUGAGGGUAACAAGGAGAAGAGAGACGUAGCCAGCAUCUGCGGAGCAUUUACAAGGUGCCAGGCGCUGCCUCAUGACAACCCCCAAAAGGAGGAUACUCUCUUGGAGAUGGAUAAUUCUCAUUUCUCAGGUGAAGAAAGCGAUCAGAGAGGUCAAGUAACUUGCUCGAAGCCACCCAGCUAGCAGCGGACAGAGCCGGCACUUGAACCCGGGACACUGCCUCCCGAGAUUAUACUACUCAGUCACCACCUUCUCCACCUCCCCAGAUCAUUCCAGCAACUUCUAAGCCUCCAGUGUCCGUUUCUACAUCUUCCCGGCCCCGCAGUGAGGGGGGGACACACGUGGAGGACUGUGGCCGCUCUCUCUGCCUCUGUGACGCUUGGCAACUCUCUUCCCCUUUCUGCUUUAGUGUCUCGUCCCUAAACGGAGAACACCAUACCCCUCUCGGAGGGUGUCUCCCGGGGUCUUUAGAGGAGGUGUGUGGCCGGGUCAUAGCUGGCGCUCAAGGAAUUAUCGGUAGUGAUAUUCGCGUUCUGUGUCUGCCUGUCUUUCUCCCCCACUGGACCACGUGCUCCUCGUGGGCAGCGACUAGGUGUCAUUUCUGUAACCACCCCCACCUAGCACUUUGCCCAGCACCCUGGCUCUGCGGAAGUUGGUCGCACGGAGAGUUUUAAGCCCUCACCUAGGCUUUUCUCUCCGUUGGACGUUUGCGUUGUUUCCACACUUUUCGCUAGUAGCAAAAUACACUUUAAAGCCCUUCUA